GACGAACGCUGGCGGCGUGCUUAACACAUGCAAGUCGAACGGUGAAAGGGAGCUUGCUCCCUGGAUCAGUGGCGAACGGGUGAGUAACACGUGGGCAACCUGCCCCAGACUUCGGGAUAACGCUUCGAAAGAGGUGCUAAUACCGGAUACGAACUCCUUGGGCAUCCUUGGGGUUGGAAAGUUUUUCGGUCUGGGAUGGGCCCGGGGCCUAGCAGCUUGUUGGUGAGGUAACGGCUCACCAAGGCGACGACGGGUAGCCGGCCUGAGAGGGCGACCGGCCACACUGGGACUGAGACACGGCCCAGACUCCUACGGGAGGCAGCAGUGGGGAAUAUUGCGCAAUGGGCGAAAGCCUGACGCAGCAACGCCGCGUGAGGGAUGACGGCCUUCGGGUUGUAAACCUCUUUCAGCAGGGAAGAAGCGAAAGUGACGGUACCUGCAGAAGAAGCACCGGCUAACUACGUGCCAGCAGCCGCAGUAA
rnacentral:rRNA from 1 species